UUUUUUUUUUUGCAUAUACGUGGAUUCUUGUUUGGAACGCACGAAAGCGAGUGUUCAUAAAAGUCUGCGAGCAGCCAACGACGUUGUUCCCUCGCAUUGUGAGGGAGCUAGGGCAUUCAAAUGAACUCCAUGACUUCGGACCUGUUCAUAACAUUUGACGAGUAUGCCCUUUUUGGUUUUGAUCGGUUGACUAGAUCAUAUGUUUGGUUGAGGUGUGGACUUUCUUAGAGUUUGUGUUAUUAUAUACAGGGCUCUUUCACAUACAUAGACAGAUCUUCGUGUGUCUGGACUUUUCUCUGUGUGUAGUUUAAGGAGAACGGAGAAGGAAGGAGGAAACAGCCAGUUUUAGGAAUUUCACAUGCCGGUAGUAUUAGUAAACGUCUAACUGGUGUACGGACCAUGACCUUAUUGAAGGCUGCAGCAGCCAGGAGAACAGGAGAAGAGCAAGUUUGCACGUAGUUUAUGGUGUGAAUAGUGAUCAAAGGGAAAGACCUGGACUUGGGAAUAUGGAUUACUAGGUCUAUAUGAAUGGAGUGAACUGUAUUAUAUAUGUACAUGUAAUAGUGUAAAUAUACGCAAGUUAUUAUCAUUAUUUUUCUUAAUUAUGACGAACAAUUAGUAUAAGGUUUUGUAAUAAAACCAAAUAGUAUAUAUAUACUCUAAUAUCCCACAUCGGCCAAAUGGAGAGGGGUUAUGUGCUGUAUAUGUACAUGUCCACCUCCAAUCUAAUACGAGGCCUUUUGGUGGCUCAGCGGCUUCGGAGGGGAUGGGUACUCCGAGAUUAAGCAUGUUGAUGCUAGAGCAAUCCCAGGAUGGGUGACCUACUGGGAAGCUGCUCCUGAGCUGCCGGAAACAAAACCGUGAGGGCCGGUGGGCCCAAAACGGACAAUAUCGUGUUACGGCGGAAUGGGUCCUGGGGUGUUACAAAUGGUAUCAGAGCCACUCUGCCGUGUGGUGCGAGUGUGCCGACGAGGGCGUCGGACUCCCAAGAGGGGUGGAUUGUAAUAUCCCACAUCGGCCAAACAGAGAGGGGUUAUGUGUUGUAUAUGUACAUGCCCACCUCCAAUCUAAUACGAGGCAUUUUGGUGGCUCAGCGGCUUCGGAGGGGAUGGGUACUCCGAGGUUAAGCAUGUUGAUGCUAGAGCAAUCCCAGGAUGGGUGACCUACUGGGAAGCUGCUCCUGAGCUGUCGGAAACAAAACCGUGAGGGUCGGUAGGCCCAAAGCGGACAAUAUCGUGUUACGGCGGAAUGAGUCCUGGGAUGUGACAUUAUACACUGUAUAGAGUUUAGUGUAAUUCUAAUUCUACAUCGUGUAAGUAUGUGCUUCUAUAUAUACUGCUAGCACAAUGCAUAUAUAUGCUGCAUAUCUUUACAUGUUGUUUCAGAAACAAUAUAUAGUGUAUUUGGAUUAUUAAAACUAUACUUGAGGCGUAAUCCAAGAUGAUAUGCUUCUUAAUUUGUAAUGAUGAAUGCUAAUUAAUAUUACGUUGCAGUUCCAUAAAUAAUCUAAUACAAUUUGUAAAGUAUUAUAUAUGUCAUCAUAAAUCACUCAUUUUCUUAGGUAUACCAAGCUCGAUCGGUUAUAUAUAUGAUCAGCGAUUAGGUCAUGAAUUGGGAGUGGAAGAUCGAGCCGACUGAAGAAGUUCUAACUCAUGCAUGGUCUGAAUAUUGAAUGAAGUGAAAGUUUGAAUCUUGAACGAGUAUAUAUAUUCCAAUUAAUGAAACACUAAUUUCAAGUCAUUGUUGAUAUGUCAGUUAAAAUGUUUCAAGGGGAGAUCUUUUGUCAAUUGAUAGGCAAGUAAUAGAAUUCGAUCUAUCUGGAUUUUCCUGGCUAACAUGUAUGACAUGUUCAUUUAUUUAGUAGUUUAGUACGUAAUGGUAAUCAAACCUACUGAUAAUGAUUUUGUUGUAAUUUAAUUUGUUUUCAUGUCACAAAUUAAGUUCAACUAAAUUGUAAUUUUAGCUCGAUUAGUUGUAGAACGAGUGUAUGAUAUACAUUAAGGUACCGUAGAUGAC
rnacentral:lncRNA from 1 species